UUACUCAUCUGGAGAGAGCCUUGGCUUCUUUUGAGGCAGAAGACCCUAACGUUUCUAGGUUUGACAAAAUCAAAGAGAGGAAUCAUGGAUUUGGUGACUUUCUACAAGGAGACCCUGAAGGAGAAGCAGACGAAGAGAAGUGUGCAGUCCAGGCUUGACACUUUCUUUCACAAGUCUCCAGUACCACCACCUCCCACUCCUAGUCCUGGUAAGGAAUUCUGAACUGUUUUACUAAUUUAUGUGUUUACAUAGUGUACAUAGUAUUAAAAUGUGUUAAUUUUUUAAUGUAACAACUACUAAAUGUAAGAGUAAAUUGUAACUUCAUUAAUUUUCAUCAUUUGUAAUUUUAUUGCAGAAGUGGUGACAGUUCCAGAUCCCCCUGUACUACCUGUGACAGUUCCAGAUCUCCCUGUACUACCUGUGACAGUUCCAGAUCCCCCUGUACCUGGACCCUCUGUAUCAGCCCGCCCACCUGCACGUGUACAAUCAGACCCCUUUGAUAGUGACAGUGACCCAGAUGACCCUGAGCCUUUCCAUGGUUUUGAUGCCUCGCCCUAUACAUCAGAUGUAGAUGUUCCCUCAUCAGUUGAUACAAGUAUCACCUCCCCAGAGCCCAAAUCAGUUGAUACGAGUAUCACCUCUCCCAUUCCUUCAGACUCCCAAGCACCUGCCCAUCCCACUCCAUAGCCCAGCCACCCACUCUCAUGUACCAUAUGACCAUCCCAGUAAGCAAGCCAACCACUAGCAUUUGACUGGCAUGCACCUGUGACUUACAUAAACCAGACCUCUACAUAGCCUACAUGUCUUCAUUUUGCUGGAGACUGCCCAUCAUCCUAGCCUGUUAUCUGUGAUAAAGCACACUGAAGUUAGGUUUGGAAUGCAUCCUUAACAUGAAUGCUCUACACCUCCACCUCCAUCUCCCACAACCUAGGUAACAGCUUUGAGACUCACUAAAAGUUGAACCCCCUGAAUGAUGUAGGCUAUGGGGCCACAUAAGACUUUGUCCAUCCAGGGUUACGAUGAAUGUAAAAUAUAAACUAAAGAACCAACAUUUUUCACACAACUCCAGGUUGUUACUACAAGUGUCAUCAAGGGAUAACUACAAGUAGAAGCACCAUUUUUGGAUGGAAAAAACCCUUCAGGAAAGUAUACGUAUCACAUGUACAUAACAUGUAGUGUAACAAAGUAUGAACAGUAAGGUUUUUACAUACAGUAGUACAUAUUACAUACGUACAUAACUUUUUUUUACAGAAAACCAGGACCCCCUCCAUGAUGCAGGCUAUGGGGCCACAUAAAACUUUGUCCAGGGUUACUACAUAACAUAGCACGACAACUGUAAACUAUGUACGUACUACGUACUGUACUAAAGGUAAGGAAUUAUACAUAGUAUAGUAAACAUACAUUAAGUGACCAAGAUCUCUCACAUGGGAUAAGUGAUCAAGGUCCCUCAUGGAAUUACAUACUGUACACUCCCUGCUGAACAGGGGGUGUAGACCAAUCAUUUACAAUAUGCAAUAUUAAACCACUGUAUGGUGCAUAUUACUGUAUGUAACUUACUAUG